UUGGUGCUGGUGAUGUAUAUUGUAUAGUGUUUUAAUGCAAAAGUUGUACUUGACUACCUGCAAAAUCAUCUUUAAAUUAUCAAGAAAAUCACCACAUGUAUACAAGUCAGUAGGUUUAUUUCUUUGAAAUGUUUGCUCACAAUUCCUUGGCAAUUCACAACUUCUCUAAAGAGGUAGACCAACUAAAAGUACAUCACCCCUACACUAGACAUCUCGGACAUCUCUUACUAGAAUUACUCAUGAAUGUAGUUGAAGUUGUAUUUGUGAGGGCCUUCUAGAUUCUGAAGAGAAUGAUUGAAAGUGACUGCACUGCCAUCACCCUGUCUCACCUACUAGUCUCCCCACCCUGUCCCUCGCAAUCUCCUACCCACCUACUUUUACCCAGACACCCCACGGCAACACUUGGGAGGCUAUUUUUUGCCACACUUCACUAAAUAAGGCUGUGGAGCACAACUACGAGGGUGGGCUAGUGGAGGGGUGUGUGUCUCUGGUUCUUACCUUGGUAUAAAAACCCUGGGACGAUGGGGGUUUCCUCUGUUGAACCGCUCGCUUGAUCCCCCCCUCGCCGUGUUCUCCUUCUUGCUUGCCUUCGUCUACUUUUGGCACUUCAUUAAAAAAACUGAAAGAACAAAUAUCACCACGCAAGCUGCCUAUGAGAAUAAUCAAUUGUUUUUUUUUUUUUUGUUUGUUUUGUUUUUUUUUUAUCCAAGAACCUUCUCUGUUUUUGUCAGACUGUCAACAUUUCUAAUUGCUCUGUUUUUUUGAAGUUCUUUCAUUUUUUUGGAAUUGCUUGCACUGACCACCGGAUGACACAUUAGGGAAGUGAAUGAAUGAAAUACGGGGCAAAAGGACGAGAAAGACUCCCAGGGAGGAGAGACUCCGCCUGCAACGACUGCUUCACCCUGCAUGGGCCAACAUCCCUAUCUGGAUCACCUUUACUGUGGUCCCAGAUUGUCUCUUCCUCCUUCUCCUCUCUGUGACUUGUGGACAAGACUCACCCCUAAAAUGCUUUGCUAAAGCUGGUAAAAUGGAACCAAAUCAACUGUUCAAUGGAUUUGGUCCCCUUCAACCAGCUGUAGCUGUGCAUUGAUCACUCCAAACACACACACACACACACACACACAUGCGGUGGGACAAAGAAAGGGAUAAAGAAGCAGUGGAAGACUUGUCGUAAUUAAGUAGAAUUCAGUUUAAAAUUUUAAAAUUGAAGUUAGAGCUUCUCCACAGAAACGGUUGGACAGACACAGCAUGUACCAUUCACAGCAGCUUUAUCUCUGUCACAGAGAUUACCCAAAACAUAUCGAAGUCAUUUGCUAAAUGUGUGUAAAAAAGUUAGAUAACUAAUUAUAAACACAAUAUCUUGGUGGAUUUGUUCGAUAAAAUUAUAAUUGCAUUGUCCUUUAGAAACAUUACCACUGUUGCUUAUUUGAAACACGUUUGGUCCUUGAUUUGUUCCUAUAUGUUGUUUGCAAAAGGACGGUAUGGUUGAAGAGGUAUUGAGUGUAAGAAGAGAUGCUGUGUGAGAGAAGUCCUGGUGUGGAUGUUUGCACACACAUAUGUACACGGUUACUGUGGGGGACAGGAACCAAAGGACGAAACAUUCCAAUGCUACUGACCACAAAAUACCCCCAGAGGUCCUGUGUCCGUUCCCCUGGCAGGUCAGGUGGGGCUUUGGUCUUUUGGUCUUCUUUGGUUUCCGUUGUUUAGGUGGAUGAUGUAUGUCAAAGAACACCCACAUGAUUGCCAGAACUCAAGGUUUCCCCUGCAGAACAUUGCAUUAUAAACAUACGAUUCAUUUCACCUGUCAGUGGUGUUAAUGUUGUGGCUGACUGCUGUAUGUGUAUCACUGACUUCUAAUGCAUGUCUGAUCAAUAAAGCUUUGUCCUGAAGUUCACAUAAACUGCUGAA